GCUGUUUUGGCGACCGUAUCUGGGCAGGAAUGGGGUUCUUCAUUUACUAAUAAAACGAAACAGCGGAGCUAUUUACACUUAUGAAGAUGUUGAGUUAAGAAGAAUAUUUCCAAGUGAAUUCCCGCAAGACACAGUCAGAAAAAGCGGAGCUUCCGAUCCAGAACAUUUAGGUCGUUAUUCAGAAUUAAAGAAUUACUUCAGAAAUCCUAAGUCAAACAUAAACUCCCAUUUUGAAGAGUUGGCAUGUUUUAAUGAAAAUGGUAAAAAGGUAUGUAGAAUAGACUUAGAGCGAUAUACACAAGAAGAAGACCAGUACUAUUCGUCGAUGAUGAGAGAGAGUCACGUGGACAGACGUAGAGUAUACUGCAUCAUGCUGCUUUGUUUUACCGAAGAUGAACUGGACAGAAUUGUCGCUUCAUUUGACGUCAUUUCAUAAUAUACCACAGUAUUUUUUUAAUCA